GAUCCUGCUCAGGAUGAACGCUAGCUACAGGCUUAACACAUGCAAGUCGAGGGGCAGCAUGGUCUUAGCUUGCUAGGGCUGAUGGCGACCGGCGCACGGGUGAGUAACACGUAUCCAACCUGCCGUCUACUCUUGGCCAGCCUUCUGAAAGGAAGAUUAAUCCAGGAUGGGAUCAUGAGUUCACAUGUCCGCAUGAUUAAAGGUAUUUUCCGGUAGACGAUGGGG
rnacentral:rRNA from 1 species